GCCAGCAACCAUAUCAUCCUGCAACUCACAACUGGUAACCCACUGAAGCCAAGCAGGUGUGAGCCUGGUUACUAUCUGGAUGGGAGACCUCCUGGGAAAUACUAAGGUUGCUGCUGGAA
rnacentral:rRNA from 1 species